CCUACGGGGGGCUGCAGUGGGGAAUAUUGGACAAUGGGGGGAACCCUGAUCCAGCCAUGCCGCGUGUGUGAAGAAGGCCCUCGGGUUGUAAAGCACUUUCAGUGAGGAAGAACGCCUGGUGGUUAAUACCCAUCAGGAAAGACAUCACUCACAGAAGAAGCACCGGCUAACUCCGUGCCAGCAGCCGCGGUAAUACGGAGGGUGCGAGCGUUAAUCGGAAUUACUGGGCGUAAAGCGCGCGUAGGUGGCUUGAUAAGUCGGUUGUGAAAGCCCCGGGCUCAACCUGGGAACGGCAUCCGGAACUGUCAAGCUAGAGUGCAGGAGAGGAAGGUAGAAUUCCCGGUGUAGCGGUGAAAUGCGUAGAGAUCGGGAGGAAUACCAGUGGCGAAGGCGGCCUUCUGGACUGACACUGACACUGAGGUGCGAAAGCGUGGGUAGCAAACAGGAUUAGAUACCCUUGUAGUC
rnacentral:rRNA from 1 species